CAGCCGCCGCGGGAAUACGUAGGGUGCGAGCGUUAACCGGAAUUACUGGGCGUAAAGCGUGCGCAGGCGGUUUUGUAAGACAGGCGUGAAAUCCCCGGGCUCAACCUGGGAAUGGCGCUUGUGACUGCAAAGCUAGAGUGCGGCAGAGGGGGAUGGAAUUCCGCGUGUAGCAGUGAAAUGCGUAGAUAUGCGGAGGAACACCGAUGGCGAAGGCAAUCCCCUGGGCCUGCACUGACGCUCAUGCACGAAAGCGUGGGGAGCAAACAGGAUUAGAGACCCCAGUAGUCCCUGUCUCUUAUAC
rnacentral:rRNA from 1 species